UUUAAAUGUAAAAAAAUAUACUAAAGUAGUAAUAGUUAUGUUCUUUAAAUUUAAAGAAUUUGGCGGUAUUUUAGUCUUUUCAGAGGAACCUGUUCUGUAAUUGAUAGUCCACGAUUAACUUUACUUGAUUUAAUAAUUUGUAUAUCGUCGUUUAUAAAUGAUUUUAUAAGAAUAUAAAUUUUUAAGAUUUUAAAUUAAAAAAUAUAUCAGAUCAAGGUGCAGUUUAUAAUUAAGAAGAAAUGGGUUACAAUAAAUUUAUUUAUACGGAUAAAUAGAUUAAAUUUUAUUUUGAAGGAGGAUUUGAUAGUAAUAAAAUUUAUUUAAAUUUUAUGAUUUUAGCUCUAAAAUAUGU
rnacentral:rRNA from 1 species